AUCACAGUGAGAGCAUGCAAGCGUCCAUAGGAAAGCAUUGAUAAUGCUUUCCUAUGUGACCGGCUGAAUGCGCGCGCUGCUCUUGCCGCGCGUGCGCAUUCAGCCGCAUGGGAGGAGAAGAGGAGGAUCGGAGGAGAGCUCCCCGCCCAGCGCUGGAAAAAAGUAAGUUUUUACCCCUUUCCCCCUUCCAGAGCCGGGCGGGAGGGGGACCCUGAG
rnacentral:lncRNA from 1 species